rnacentral:rRNA from 1 species
GAUGAACGCUGGCGGCGUGCCUAAUGCAUGCAAGUCGGACGGUACUCUGAUUUCGGUUGGAGUGCAGUGGCGAACGGCUGAGUAAUACGAAGGUAACCUACCCUUCAGUGGGGAAUAUCUCCGAGAAAUCGGAGCCAAUACCGCAUAUCGUCCUCACACGCGAGUGUGAUGAUGAAAGCCUUCGGGCGCUGGAGGAUGGGCCUUUGUCCCAUCAGGCAGUUGGCAGGGUAACGGCCUACCAAACCUAAGACGGGUAGCUGGUCUGAGAGGAUGGUCAGCCAGAUGGGGACUGAGAGACGGCCCCAACUCCUACGGGAGGCAG